rnacentral:tRNA from 1 species
GCCAUCGUGGCGCAAUGGUAGCGCAUCACCUUCCUAUGGUAGGAUUAGGUGGGGGUUGCGGGUUCGAUCCCCGUCGGUGGUA